AGGCCAGUGUUCUUGGAUGGCACCCAUUGUUAAUGGAAUAAUAUUAUGGAAAGAAGUGAACCAUUUCUGUUUCCUUGUUAAUAAAGACAGGUGUGCUUAGAAGUGGAAGCAGAGAGACCCAAGUAGGCUUUACAGUCUACAAAUGCUGAUCUUGCACUCAGGUGAGGACUCAGGUGAGAUUUUGGG
rnacentral:lncRNA from 1 species